AAUAAACAGUGUAACUACUUCCCCAGCUGUGACCAAGCAAUCAGUUAGAAACAGCUGCUACAAAUGAUUGCAGCCUAGUCAGAUUAGGGUACAGAGACUUCAGAGGUACAGACAGAGGGAAGCUGUGAAAAGAGCAUGGGAACAAAGACUGUGAAAACAAAAAGAUACUGCAGCAUACGAAUAAGGAUCUGCUCACUCAGCUGCUGGAAUGAAUGGCGAGUUUCAUGGAUAAGAAGGAUGAAUACCUAGUAAACACAGGGCUGUUAUCAGAGUCAAGAAAUGUGUGGCCAGGAUGCAGGCUUCACCCUGAAGGCUCUCUCUUAGGUGGCAGAUGGCAGCAACCUGGAGGUGGGAUGCCGAAGACCACACCCCCCUCCAGGCGGAUG